rnacentral:sRNA from 1 species
UGAUACUAGAAACCCAAGGUCAUGGAUUUCAUGCUUACAUGAAAAAACAUGACCUUGGGAACUCAAUACAUGAGAAAGUAGCCCUAGCAGGGCGGAUUUCGAAUGAUUUUAGGAUUGUGAGAGCACAAAGAGCGUAACAUAACAUAUUUUUCA